UACGUAGGGGGCAAGCGUUGUUCGGAAUUACUGGGCGUAAAGGGCGCGUAGGCGGCACGGCAAGUCGGGAGUGAAAGGCCUGGGCUCAACCGAGGAACUGCUUUCGAGACUGCCGAGCUAGAGUGCGGAAGGGGCAAUUGGAAUUCCCAGUGUAGCGGUGAAAUGACGUAGAUAUUGGGAAGAACGACCUGAGGCGAAGGCGG
rnacentral:rRNA from 1 species